AGAAGAAAUACAGCCACAGACUCCUGGCUCAGAGAAGCAGAAAUCACCCAAGAACACCAGUCUCUCACCCCAGCAUUCACAGUAACAUUCCUGAAUGGAACACCCAUCAGGGGCUUGUGUAACAGACAGCUACUACCACCUUUUCUUGGAAGAAGAACAAUAGAUGGUUUGGCUGGUUCCAGCCCCUCUGUCCAAAUACUGUACUCCUGCCGAUAAUCUCAACCCCAGGACUCACACACCUGCCUCACUAACUCAGCUUCAGCUACACGCUGCUCUGGCCUUCCAGCAUCAACUCCAAAUAACUCUGAGGAUGCCCUCCAGAAAGAGGUGUGAGAAGGCUGGUCAGCUAUGCUGGACUUUAAGAAAAACAAUCUGUCCCUUUCACUUCAGUCUCCUUAGGCUCAAGUAAUGGAUACAGGAAGGCCUCUUGAAGCCUGUGUUGCUCAGAGCAGGAAAAGUUUUUACAUGCUCCCUGGAAUCCAAAGAAUCUGUCCCCAAAGGGCACUGAAAUGUGCCUAGGACAAAACAACUACAACAGCAGCAACAACAGCAACAGAAUACAAAGGUGCUAAACACACUAUCAUUCAGCAGAAACUACUCUAAAAAACAUGUACAUAAUUUCAGGACAUGACACCUAAAAAUCCUAGAAAAUACCCCAUUUAAAGAAAAACAACUAGUUUCUUUCCAGGAACAUUUACUACUAAGCACCUAUCACUUCACAAGCACUGGGCCAGAUGCUGCGGACACAAGAAUCAAUAAAAUGGACCAGCCCCUUCCCUGCUAGUGCUGACAGCGCUGAGGCCACACGGCGGACGUGAUCACACCAGCAGAGAUGUGCUGUGUCACGUUAAUGAAAGAAGGACACCACGAGGCUGACGGGGAGCUAAUGCCAUGCUGCCUAUGUAACCAAACGAAAGCCAGGCCUGGAAAUGCUGCAAGGUCAAAAAACCAAAACACUGAGGACUGUCAAUCACAAACAGCCAGCCAGGCUCGAAGUCAUCUACAGACAAGAACGUCCAUGCUUUGUUUCCAGCUUUUCUCUAUCAAGUCCUGUUGGUAAAAGGCUCCUAACCACUUCCUGCUUGGUGCUGCCUGAUUCAAAUGAUUUUUGUUUGAAUAAACUCUGAAAAUGUUUAAUAUGCCUCAGUUUAUCUUUUAACAACUUGUAAAGGGAAGACAGGAUGUUGUAAGUUCUUGAUUUCAAUACCAAAUGGCAUGAUCUUAAUACAGUCAAAUAAAAAAAUCCAAAGCCUUUCAGAUUUUACAAUACG